UUUGGAGUGGUUGGACACGUGAUGGGAUUAACAGAGAGCGGAGACGAGCGACAUGGAGCGAACGAGUGAUGGAUGAGUAAUGGAAUUUCGCAUUUACUUACUUCAGGUUUAAGGGUAUUUUUAGAAGCUACGUGGCUCUGCGUGGGAUUGCAGUGAGCAAAUGGGAUUAUCUCGGUAUUAAGAAAAUGACGUUGGGUAGGAUUUUGUCUGGACUUUAAUUGUGGACAGAUAAGCUGUAAUCAAGCUGACGACCUUACUUCGAGCAGACUGUCGUGAGAUAAGAAAUGGUACAAAUAUACUGUAGAAAGACUGGGCCGAAAAAUUACAAUGAAAAGUAAAUUUACUUGUUCAAACGUCAUUGUAAAUACGUUCGUUUUUAAACAAGCUUUUACCAAUAUUGCAACUGCUGUAAUCAAAAUCAGUUUUCAAGUCAAA